UGAUGCACGUGGGGAGCGAAGGCUGGCCCAUGUAUUCCGAUCCAACAGACGAGCUACUGUAGCUCAAAUUGCUCAAGAAGUUAAUGCUGCUUCUGAUAGAAAGGUGUCAGAAUACACAGUGCAUCGCAGUUUGUUGCGUAUGGGGCUGCAUAGCCGCAGACCAGUCAGGGUGCCCAUGCUGACCCGUCCAACGCCGAAAGCACCAACGGUGGCAAGUGAGCAUCAGAACUGGACCACAGAGCAAUGGAAGAAGGUGGCCUGAUCUGAUGAAUCAUGUUUUCUUUUACAUCACGUGGAUGGCCGGGUACGUGUGCGUCGCUUACCUGGGGAACACAUGGUACCAGGAUGCACUAUGGGAAGAAGGCAAGCCGGCGGAGGCAAUGUGAUGCUUUGGACAAUGUUCUGCUGAGAAACCUUGGGUCCUGCCAUCCAUGUGGAUGUUACUUUGACACGUACCACCUACCUAAGCAUUGUUGCAGACCAUGUACACCCUUUCAUGGAAACUGACAUUCCCUGGUGGCUGUGGCCUCUUUCAGCAGGAUAAUGCGCCCUGCCACAAAGCAAAAAUGGUUCAGGAAUGGUUUAAGGAGCACAACAAUUUUGAGGUGUUGACUUGGCCUCCAAAUUUCCCAGAUCUCAAUCCAGUCGAGCAUCUGUGGGAUGUGCUGAACAAACAAGUCCGAUCCAUGGAGGCCCCACCUCACAACUUACAGGACUUAAAGGAUCUGCUGCUAACAUCUUGGUGCCAGAUACCACAGCACACCUUCAGGGGUCUAGUGGAGUCCAUGUCUCGACGGGUCAGGGCUGUUUUGGCAGCAAAAGGAGGGCCAACACAAUAUUAGGAAGGUGGUCAUAAUGUUAUGCCUGAUCGGUGUGUAUAUAUAUAAGUAUUUUAUUAUAACAUACUUAACUUAAUUUAGUUGACUUUAACCUGUUUUUUUUUUUGUUUUGUUUUUUAUCACUUUAGACACCUCUGCUUUGUAGCACUUGAAUGUUUUGACAGUUCGUUUCAACCCAAUGAAGCUUAAUUGACCCUGACUCUGAGCGAGAGUCACACAGUGUUCUCUGGAAAGCAGUUUAAUCUUUAUAAUCCUAACCACAUUUUCAACUAGCCUAGAUGAUUCAUUGUAAAUUCAUUGCAAAGUACUAAAACUUUACACUGCAAGUAUACACACAUUGAUCUGUUCAGACAAGGUGUUUGGCUGGUUGGCCUGGCUUUGUUAGCCCCUGCUGGUAGAUGCUGUGACUACACCUACAGUUGCUUUUUUAAUUAAAAGGGAGUACUUCCAUUCCUACAGCUGCCAUACUGAGCCUCGCAGAUUCGCAUAUUCAUUUUUCAAUUAGUGGUCCAUUACCUCCUCAUAGAAGACUGUUUACACCUCAGAGAGAAAGAAAUCAAAAACAAAUACACAUUUUAUGUAAGUGAAUGUUUGUAUUUAUCUAUUUGAGAUGAUACAGGCUGGCAUAUGCUUCAUUUUAUAUUGUUUCUGGAGGAAGUUAGCAAGACCGCUAAUGUUACAGCAGUUACGUUAUGAAACUGUGAUUUGGAUGAAGGCCAACUGAUUUGGAUAACAGUUGGCUGAGAACCUAAAUUCAAUCUAUAACUCCUGAUUGCUGUACAUUUUUGAGUUAUGACUUAGAAUAACAAAGCACAACCAGCACAUGGGGUUCCUGUAAUGACGUUCUGACAGAACAGCAAGUGUACCAGAGCUUGUGAAUUCUUAGAAAUUGUCAAGUCUUGUUUUAAUUUUAACAUGUGUCUUAGUCUCUGGCCUGACACUCCUAACAGCAGCCUAACUUUAACCCCUGGAGACUAAGCGCAAAGCUUCUCCAGAUUUAACGGACGAAUUACAUGCACUACAAUCAGAAGGAAGUACAGCGAGAGCAUUCUGGGGGAUUUGGAAGAGCAGUGUAGUGUCAAAUGUGAAACUCAAUGGGGCUUCCUGUUAAAGCUCGGCCGAACUCCGCUUUGGAUAUUCACAACAGCGAGCUUGCAGAGGGGAGAACGUGUUUGGUUUGGCUGGACUCACGGCAGCUGUAGGGAAGUGUGGGAAAAGGAGAGAGAUUUCACCCCAUUCAUUAUGGGAGCAUCUGACGUAAUAAUGAUCGCUAAUGCCGCUUAUGAGAAACAUUCAGCUUGUAUAGCGACCUCAUAAAAAUCACACAAGCACCAGUGCUGUGGAAAACCUGCAGGUGGAAGCUGGAAAAUGACACUUCACAAAAUUUUCUCACAGAAAAAUUAUAAUUCUGUCAUCUUUUACUCACUUUCAUGUCAUUCCAAACCUAUGACUCUUGUUUGGAACAAAAAAUAAGAUAUUUUGGAGAAUGUUUUCAUAUAGACUGCCAUGCCAUAUUUUGAAUCGUUUUCCAUCUGUCAUUGUGGUAUCAUUUUCUUUAGAUUUAUUUAUUUUUUGAUUAAAAUCAGCAUGCAUUUAAAUGUGAUAAACAAAUAGUACAAUUUAUUCAUUUAUUUAAAUCAGAAUACAUUUACAUGUAGUCCAAACAAAAACUAGCAGUGUACUGAUUUAUUUAUAUACACAUUCAAACAAAAGAAAAUGUAGUUGGUUGCUUAACAUGUUAUUCAGAUGAUCUCUUCCUAUGUAAGUGGGCAGUUCUUGAACAGAAAAAGCUGCAAAGUGGACCAGACUUUGUCUCAAGUCUUAUUACACAACAUUGUGUGGGUUGGUUUUCAUUAUCAGUCUGCAGAAGGAACCAGUGAGAAAUAGAGAAAUUGUAUGUAUCUGUUGAAUCCAGCUAUGACAAAUUGGUUACUUAACCCAGAAAACAAAAUGUUAUGCAGUUCAUAAUUUCGUAAUGCCAUAGUUGUGUAGUUUCCUUCUCCUUUGGCUCAAAUAUUAAUUUAUUAUGACUCUAAUGAGAAUUUCCGUUGUGCUUCAGAAGAUGAAGUGUCUUUGAACAAACAGUGCACUAAUUGCAGGCUUUGUCCUCCCUGAGGCAAACGGGGGUUAAGUGCCAUGUUGACGGCUAUGGUGGAGAUGGAGAGGGAUUUUCAUGACUUUAGUUCAUGGGUCAGAGUUACUUGGGAAUGAAGUAAAGGUCACGUUAACCGAAUGUUUUCCAUUAUUGACUGAUUUCUUCUUUAGCAGUGACGGAAAAAUCUAAAGGCCAUCUGUCAUUUUGACAAAUUACACUGAAGCAGAAAGUAUACUUCAUUUUUUUACGUGUACGCACAGUCGAACGCACAGCCUUGCAAAGUAUACUUCAUUUGACUUGUACGCAUACACAGGAGUUCGACGCAUGCGCAGUUUUGAGCAAUCUCUCGCCACGAGUUACAACCCAUGUAAAUAUCUUUGUAUUCUUUCAUGCUAGAGUUGUACAAAUGAGGGUACUUUCUAACCUCUUCGCACAAUCUCUCGCUGUAGCUUGCAUGCGUUCUGGUCUGUUCUGUUUAUGCUGUUUUUCUUCGACUACCCUUUGAAUCGAUGCCCCUACAUCACGGUUGCCACCUUGUGGAUAAACUAAUUACUGCAAAAAAUAUUAAAUGCGCUUGUGCGGAUACUAAAAUCCGGUGGUGCGCGUACAGUACGAAUGUACUCUUCUGAUGGCGCACUGUUCGCUGACCCUCGCGUACGCGUAAAAAGUGAAGAAUACUUUGGCUUUGAGGGUGAUCUAUUGUAACUUGCAGCUGUAAUUCCCACCUCUGUCCAGUUGGUGGUAAGUGCACUCCAGUGUGACAGUGUUGCCAAAUCUGCAGUUUUCCCACGGAAUUGGGACAUUUUUACAGUUGCCCUGGGUUGUUUUUUUAGUCUUUUAAAUUCCCCCUGGGAUGCAAUGUUUACCAGGGAACCCCCUGAACAUGAUUGGGCUAGUUUUGGCCAUGAUUCUGCAGAUUUUGAAUAGCAAUUGGGCUGGUUUUGUUACACAAACCUGGCAACCUUGUGGGUUCAGCCUUCAGAACACAAUUAAAACUGCCACAAGAAGUUGUCUGUCCGAGGCAAAGACGGAAAAUAUAAUGACAAUUGCUUCUGCAUCUGUCUCCCUUGAUAUGUUUGAUUAUGCUCAGGUGAGUAACCAGUUUAAGUUGAUGCGGACCAGGGGGAAGAUUUGAGUUCAGGUAGAUACUGAGUAUUUAUUUUGGCAGCGGCUAUUUGCACUAAGUGAAAAUAACGAUAGAUUUCUAUUUAUUGAAAAUAAAUGCAAGCUUGACAAGAGGCGGAUUCGAAACCGUGUCGAUCGCAUUAAAAGCCUAGUCCACAAGCCUCACUCGCUACUGCUGCGCCACUUAAGACAUUGAAUUCUGUGUGUCUUUUUUAAAACUUGAGAGACCCAACCAGACGUUGGUGGGCAGAGCUAGUGUACAGUAAAUAGUGUUUGCCACAAGGGAUGCUAUUUGCACUUAAUGUAAAUAGACACUCCUAUUUAUUUUUUUAUGUCUUUUUACAUAUUGUAUUUUGUAACAUAUUGUGUUGUUCAUUUUUGCCUGUUCAGGCACAAAAGCUCAUGUUUUAGUGGCCUCUGCUGUCCCUGCAAAAAAAAAAAAAAAAAAAAAGAAAAUUAAAAGUGACACAGUCUCUGUUCAUCUGUUCUCUUCAUCAAUAAAUAAAUGCAUAAUAUUUAACGGACUAUAUGUUGAGCCUAUAUUCUCAUCCUGUAAGUUCAUGAUUAAAAAUUGAAAUUUGAACGAAAACAAAA